rnacentral:rRNA from 1 species
AGUGAACGCUGGCGGUAGGCCUAACACAUGCAAGUCGAACGGCAGCACAGUAAGAGCUUGCUCUUACGGGUGGCGAGUGGCGGACGGGUGAGGAAUACAUCGGAAUCUACUUUUUCGUGGGGGAUAACGUAGGGAAACUUACGCUAAUACCGCAUACGACCUACGGGUGAAAGCAGGGGAUCUUCGGACCUUGCGCGAUUGAAUGAGCCGAUGUCGGAUUAGCUAGUUGGCGGGGUAAAGGCCCACCAAGGCGACGAUCCGUAGCUGGUCUGAGAGGAUGGUCAGCCACACUGGAACUGAGACACGGUCCAGACUCCUAAGGGAGGCAGCAGUGGGGAAUAUUGGACAAUGGGCGCAAGCCUGAUCCAGCCAUACCGCGUGGGUGAAGAAGGCCUUCGGGUUGUAAAGACCUUUUGUUGGGAAAGAAAAGCAGCAGGUUAAUACCCCGCUGUUCUGACGGUACCCAAAGAAUAAGCACCGGCUAACUUCGUG